rnacentral:pre_miRNA from 1 species
ACAACAACAUUAGGACCGUCGGUCUACCGAGCAAUAUCACCCGCUCGGUGGAAGAUCUUCCCUUUGUCGUUCAGC